rnacentral:rRNA from 1 species
GUGGGGAAUUUUGGACAAUGGGCGCAAGCCUGAUCCAGCAAUGCCGCGUGCAGGAAGAAGGCCUUCGGGUUGUAAACUGCUUUUGUACGGAACGAAACGGUCCGGGUUAAUACCCUGGGCUAAUGACGGUACCGUAAGAAUAAGCACCGGCUAACUACGUGCCAGCAGCCGCGGUAAUACGUAGGGUGCAAGCGUUAAUCGGAAUUACUGGGCGUAAAGCGUGCGCAGGCGGUUUUGUAAGACAGGCGUGAAAUCCGCGGGCUCAACCUGGGAAUUGCGCUUGUGACUGCAAGGCUGGAGUGCGGCAGAGGGGGAUGGAAUUCCGCGUGUAGCAGUGAAAUGCGUAGAUAUGCGGAGGAACACCGAUGGCGAAGGCAAUCCCCUGGGCCUGCACUGACGCUCAUGCACGAAAGCGUGGGGAGCAAACAGGAUUAGAUACCCGGGUAGUCC